CCUACGGGUGGCAGCAGUGAGGAAUAUUGGUCAAUGGACGAGAGUCUGAACCAGCCAAGUAGCGUGAAGGAUGACUGCCCUAUGGGUUGUAAACUUCUUUUAUAUGGGAAUAAAAUGUUCCACGUGUGGGAUUUUGUAUGUACCAUAUGAAUAAGGAUCGGCUAACUCCGUGCCAGCAGCCGCGGUAAUACGGAGGAUCCGAGCGUUAUCCGGAUUUAUUGGGUUUAAAGGGAGCGUAGGUGGAUUGUUAAGUCAGUUGUGAAAGUUUGCGGCUCAACCGUAAAAUUGCAGUUGAAACUAGCAGUCUUGAGUACAGUAGAGGUGGGCGGAAUUCGUGGUGUAGCGGUGAAAUGCUUAGAGAUCACGAAGAACUCCGAUUGCGAAGGCAGUUCACUGGACUGCAACUGACACUGAGGCUCGAAAGUGUGGGUAUCAAACAGGAUUAGAUACCCCAGUAGUC
rnacentral:rRNA from 1 species